GCGAGAAGCCCGCAAGGGUGAGUAAAGCGGCGCACGGGUGAGUAACACGUGGGUAAUCUUCCUUGGAGCCCGGAAUAACUCCCCGAAAGGGGUGCUAAUGCCGGAUGAGACCACGGGAUCUCCGGAUCCUGAGGGAAAAGGCGGCCUCUGUACACAAGCUGUCACUCCAAGAUGAGCCCGCGGCCCAUCAGCUAGUUGGCGGGGUAAUGGCCCACCAAGGCAUCGACGGGUAGCUGGUCUGAGAGGACGAUCAGCCACACUGGAACUGAGACACGGUCCAGACUCCUACGGGAGGCAGCAGUGGGGAAUUUUGCGCAAUGGGCGAAAGCCUGACGCAGCAACGCCGCGUGUGUGAUGAAGGUCUUCGGAUCGUAAAGCACUGUCGGGAGGGACGAAUAAGGCGGCGGCUAAUAUCCGCAGCCGAUGACGGUACCUCCAAAGGAAGCACCGGCUAACUCUGUGCCAGCAGCCGCGGUAAUACAGAGGGUGCAAGCGUUGUUCGGAAUUAUUGGGCGUAAAGCGCGUGUAGGCGGCCUUGCAAGUUGGGUGUGAAAGCCCUCGGCUUAACCGAGGAAGUGCGCCCAAAACUACAGGGCUUGAGUACCGGAGAGGGUGGCGGAAUUCCCGGUGUAGAGGUGAAAUUCGUAGAUAUCGGGAGGAACACCAGUGGCGAAGGCGGCCACCUGGACGGAUACUGACGCU
rnacentral:rRNA from 1 species